GGAAACGGUGGCUAAUACCGCAUAACGUCGCAAGACCAAAGAGGGGGACCUUCGGGCCUCUUGCCAUCAGAUGUGCCCAGAUGGGAUUAGCUUGUUGGUGAGGUAACGGCUCACCAAGGCGACGAUCCCUAGCUGGUCUGAGAGGAUGACCAGCCACACUGGAACUGAGACACGGUCCAGACUCCUACGGGAGGCAGCAGUGGGGAAUAUUGCACAAUGGGCGCAAGCCUGAUGCAGCCAUGCCGCGUGUAUGAAGAAGGCCUUCGGGUUGUAAAGUACUUUCAGCGGGGAGGAAGGUGUUGUGGUUAAUAACCGCAGCAAUUGACGUUACCCGCAGAAGAAGCACCGGCUAACUCCGUGCCAGCAGCCGCGGUAAUACGGAGGGUGCAAGCGUUAAUCGGAAUUACUGGGCGUAAAGCGCACGCAGGCGGUCUGUCAAGUCGGAUGUGAAAUCCCCGGGCUCAACCUGGGAACUGCAUUCGAAACUGGCAGGCUUGAGUCUUGUAGAGGGGGGUAGAAUUCCAGGUGUAGCGGUGAAAUGCGUAGAGAUCUGGAGGAAUACCGGUGGCGAAGGCGGCCCCCUGGACAAAGACUGACGCUCAGGUGCGAAAGCGUGGGGAGCAAACAGGAUUAGAUACCCUGGUAGUCCACGCCGUAAACGAUGUCUACUUGGAGGUUGUGCCCUUGAGGCGUGGCUUCCGGAGCUAACGCGUUAAGUAGACCGCCUGGGGAGUACGGCCGCAAGGUUAAAACUCAAAUGAAUUGACGGGGGCCCGCACAAGCGGUGGAGCAUGUGGUUUAAUUCGAUGCAACGCGAAGAACCUUACCUGGUCUUGACAUCCACAGAAGAAUCCAGAGAUGGAUUUGUGCCUUCGGGAACUGUGAGACAGGUGCUGCAUGGCUGUCGUCAGCUCGUGUUGUGAAAUGUUGGGUUAAGUCCCGCAACGAGCGCAACCCUUAUCCUUUGUUGCCAGCGGUUAGGCCGGGAACUCAAAGGAGACUGCCAGUGAUAAACUGGAGGAAGGUGGGGAUGACGUCAAGUCAUCAUGGCCCUUACGACCAGGGCUACACACGUGCUACAAUGGCGCAUACAAAGAGAAGCGACCUCGCGAGAGCAAGCGGACCUCAUAAAGUGCGUCGUAGUCCGGAUUGGAGUCUGCAACUCGACUCCAUGAAGUCGGAAUCGCUAGUAAUCGUGGAUCAGAAUGCCACGGUGAAUACGUUCCCGGGCCUUGUACACACCGCCCGUCACACCAUGGGAGUGGGUUGCAAAAGAAGUAGGUAGCUUAACCUUCGGGAGGGCGCUUACCACUUUGUGAUUCAUGACUGGGGUGAAGUCGUAACAAGGUAACCGUAGGGGAACCUGCGGUUGGAUCACCUCCUUACCUUAAAGAA
rnacentral:rRNA from 1 species